AAGAGACAUUAAUCUGUGUGCGAGAAUGCAUUGUCAUGGUCAGAGAACUGUUCAUCUCCUUUGCACUGAAAUGGUCGGCUUGAACACACUAAAAAAGGUUUUGCUACAAGCCAGGAAGUUUGAAAUAAAUUCAGUAGCCAACCAGCAGUCAUUGAAUAUUUUGGGGCAGAAAAGAGACAUUCUGAGAAUGAACUUAUGAAAAAAUUGCUCUGGCAAUGGUAUGUAGAAUUGUUAGGGGAAAGAGGAUAAACAAUAAACAUAUAGAUAUUUAUUACUUUAGAAGAGUCAGGGGAUAAUAACUACCUGAAACUAGAACAUGGUAAUGACAAAAAAAAAAAAAAUGGGAGAGAUUAAUUAAAAAUAAAUUGUUGAUAAAUUUUAGUGGUUAACUUGACUUGAAAGGACAGACAUAAAUGAGUCAAAGAUAAAUUCUAAUUUUUGUGUCUGAAUGACUGGGAGACUGAGGGUACAAAGCUGCUGCUGCAAAAAAAAAAAAAACCAUUUCUCAAAAGCCAGGCCAACUCUGGGCUCUCUACUUAUUUCCUUGUUUUUAUUCAUUUCUUAUAUUUUCUUUUCCUUGUUUCUUAUUCAUUUUCUGUUUCUCUCUUCCUUGUUCUUUAUUCCUUACCCUAUAAAAAGCCUCCUGCCUUCCACCCCAUUUUGCAGUUCUCUGGGCUCUUGAGAAGAGAGACUGGGGUUGUCACGAUGGGAUAAAGUGUAUUGUAUCACCACCUUGUCUUCUUUAAUCAUUUUAAAUAAUAAUAAAUACAUUAAUACUUUGCUGGCAUUUUACAGCUAAAAAGCACCAGAAAUUUAUACUGGGAAAAAUAAACUUUAGAGCCUGUACUUACAGAGUAGAAAUUAUUCUACUCAUGUGCCAUUAAUUCAUUUCAUUGAAACUUAAGCCUGAUUCCCUUGAAAGAUACUCUAAGAGAAAUAUAAAUUAAUUAUUUGUCAAUUCAUUUGGGCUACUAUAACAAAAAUAAACAUCUCAAGCAAUAAACAUUUAUUUCUGACUUUUGUGGAGCAUGGGAAGUCUGUGAUUAAGGUGUCAGCAGAUUCUAUGUCUGUAAAGGCCCACUUCUUGACCUAUAGAUUGACACUGUGUCCUCAUAUAGAAAAAGGGGCUAGGGAGCACUCCUGAGUCCUUUUUAUAAAGGCACUAAUCCUAUUUAUAAGUGCAAUACUCUAAUGACCCAAUCACCUCCCAAAAGCCCCACCUCCAAAUACUGUCACACUGGGGGUUAAGUUUCACCACAUGAAUUUUGAGGGGGUCACAAACCACUAUAUUUGUUUUGCUGUGGAGCAUAUAUAUAGAGAUCUUUAUGCUAUCAUUUAGAUCUACAGAGUUGGAUUUUUUAAAGCUAACUAGUCUUAAAACUAUCUAUUUGUCUCUCACCGAAGAUAGCCCAGGUGGAAGUAAAAGCACAAGUUACUUUUCUUACUUUCAUUUUCUUAAAUUUCAGAAACAUUUGAUAGAAGAAGCAGCAUAUCAGAGCUGCUUCUAGCAAAUGUUGCUGGUGGGUGAGGUUCAAUUACCACCACUAUCGUGUCAAACCACUCAAUACACUGUUCUUACUGACAUGAUAGUGGUGGUAACUGAAUCUUUCUUAAAAAGUCAAUGAUUAAAUCAUUCCUCAAUUUUUAUCCAUGUUAAUUGAUGCUUAUUUUUAUAAUGUUUCUACACAGAGAAUAUGCCUAUUUGGAUUCUAUUCAGUAAAGAGAAACCUCCCAGGUAUUUUAAGCAAGAAGAGUUUUAAUAUAGAAAAUUAGCACCUGUGGAAUGUUUGAAGGGCUGGAGCAAAAGGGUCUCAUUGAGACUUGUGCCACUGAAGGCCACAGAACAGAGUAGUUACUAUGUCCACCACACUCUAGAAGGGUUAGGAAUCUGAAGGCUGCCCAAGGAAGUUCUAGGUUCAAGAUCAUACUUCUCUGUAGCACACUGAUGAUCAAGAAACCAGGAUUGAGAAGCUGCUGAAUCACCACUGUUAACUCUUUCUCAAAUUGGUACAACCACUAUGGAAACAGUAUGGAGGUACCUUAGAAAACUAUACAUAGAACUACCAUAUGACCUAGGAAUCCCACUCUUGGGCAUAUAUCUGGACAAAACUUUUCUUGAAAAAGACACAUGCACCUGUAUGUUCAUUGCAGCACUAUUCACAAUAGCCAAAAUACAGAAACAACCUAAAUGUCCAUCAACAGAUGAAUGGAUUAAGAAGAUAUGGUAUAUAUUCACAAUGGAAAACUACUCAGCCAUAAAAAUAAUGAAAUAAUGUCAUUUGCAGCAACAUGGAUGGAACUAAAGACUCUCAUAUUAAGUGAAGUUAAGUCAGAAAGACAAAAACAAAUACCAUAUGAUAUCACCUAUAUCUGGAAUCUAAUAUAUGGCACAAAUGAACUUUCCACAGAAAAGAGAAUCAUAGACAUGGAGAACAGACUUGUCGUUGCCAAGGGGGAAGGGGAGGGAGUGGGAUGGACUUAGAAUUUGGAGUUAAUAGAUGCAAACUAUUGCCUUGCAUCUAUCCAUCCUUGGAAUGGAUAAGCAAUGAGAUCCUGCUGUAUAGCAAUGGGAACUAUAUCUAGUCACUUAUGAUGGAGCAUGAUGGAGGAUAAUGUGAGAAAAAAGAAUAUAUACAUGUAUGUGUGACUGGGUCACCAUGCUGUACAGUAGAAAAUUGACAGAACACUGUAAACCAGCUAUAAUGGAAAAAAUAAAAAUCAUUAUUAAAAAAAAAAAAGCUGAUGGCUAAACAUGGAAUCCUGCUGCAGAAAACAAAAACAGAACAAUUUUUCCACCUCAUUGGUUACAGAAGGCAAUAGCUAGAAGUAGAAGGAAGAUGAUGUUUGUCUCACUUCAUCUUCUAAAUCUCACACAGGGCAUUUAAUAGGCAGAAAAUGAUUUAUAUCUGGAAUGCUAAUGACAAGGAAACGAAGUAUUUAGCUUUUCAGGCCAAAUGACACAAGAAGGUCUCAAAAAAGGAGUAAAAAUAAAUAAAUACUGGGUGCUAAUUAAUCUUAUCCAAUACAAGGUUUCACUUUAAAACCUUUAUCUUGUUUAUAUCCCAAAUUUUUUUUCUAUUUUUCAUCAAUUGUUGAAUGUAAAUGAGCUACAUUUUAUUAAGGCACAGUUGUUCCUAAUUAUACAAAAAUCAGUUAAACUAACAGUCAAAGUUCUCAAACUCUCUACUAUCCAGAGCCUUGGAGUUUCGCCACAUAAAUAAUAACUCCUCCUCAUUUUGAUGAUCUUGAAGCAGUUAUUCCCCUUAAACUGCAGAACUGUCUGCACACCAGUAUGAACAAUGUACUUAAUGUUUCCCAGGCUUUUUCAGAGAAAGUAUUUUAUUUUAAAUGUAGUAUCUCAUAAAACAAAAAGAGAAAUUAUGACACUACACACACACACACACACACAAUUCAGAAUUAUCUAGUCAGUGCAAUGAGUCUUUUUCACCUGACUUAGCUUAACCAAAAUCUUAUAUUUGAACUUCCCAAUUAUUUAUAAGUUAACAGAAUGGAAAAACUUAGGUAAAUGGAGAAAAAGAUGGCUUCCUGGACUGGCAAGGCUUUUUUUUUUUUUUUUUUUUUUUUUUUUUUUUUUUUUUUGUCUUUUUGCCAUUUCUUGGGCCGCUCCCGCAGCAUAUGGAGUUUCCCAGGCUAGGGGUUGAAUCGGAGCUGUAGCCGCCGGCCUACACCAGAGCCACAGCAACGCGGGAUCUGAGCUGCUUCUGUGACCUACACCACAGCUCACGGCAACGCCGGAUCCUUAACCCACUGAGCAAGGCCAGGGAUCAAACCUAAAACCUCAUGG
rnacentral:lncRNA from 1 species